GUUUUGUACAGUUCAUUUUUACUCCAAACUGAUCACUCGAUCUUUUAAAUGCCUAUUAUAAUUCAGCUCUGAACUGUAGUGGCACAGCAAUAAAUGGUAUGCAGCCAAACACAAAGACCAGGUUCUCCUCUUACUCCUCUUAAUGGUAACUUCCAAAAACUGCUCAAAUUUACAAGGUAGGCAGAUUUAUUGAAAUAAUAAAAACUUACAGAACAAACAAACACAUACAUAGGGCACAAUGACUGAUAAUGGUCUUCCUCAGUUUCAU